AACGAACGCUGGCGGCAUGCCUAACACAUGCAAGUCGAACGAGACCUUCGGGUCUAGUGGCGCACGGGUGCGUAACGCGUGGGAACCUGCCCUUAGGUUCGGAAUAACUCCCCGAAAGGGGUGCUAAUACCGGAUAAUGUCUUCGGACCAAAGAUUUAUCGCCUUUGGAUGGGCCCGCGUUGGAUUAGCUAGUUGGUAGGGUAAAAGCCUACCAAGGCGACGAUCCAUAGCUGGUCUGAGAGGAUGAUCAGCCACACUGGGACUGAGACACGGCCCAGACUCCUACGGGAGGCAGCAGUGGGGAAUAUUGGACAAUGGGCGAAAGCCUGACCCAGCAAUGCCGCGUGAGUGAUGAAGGCCUUAGGGUUGUAAAGCUCUUUUACCCGGGAUGAUAAGGACAGUACCGGGAGAAUAAGCUCCGGCUAACUCCGU
rnacentral:rRNA from 1 species